CUUUUGUCAGGGAAGANACNGUCUGAUCUAAUACAUUGGGCUAAUGACGGUNCCUGAANAAUAANCACCGGCUAACUACGUGCCAUCANCCGCGGUAAUACUUAUGGUGCAAGCGUUAAUCUGAAUUACUGGGCGUAAAGCGUGCGCANGCGGCUUUGCAAGACANAUGUGAAAUCCCCGGGCUCAACCUGGGAACUGCAUUUGUGACUGCNUGGCUNNAGUACGGUANAGGGGGAUGGAAUUCCGCGUGUAGCAAUGAAAUGCGUAAAUGUGCNNAGGAACACCGAUGGCGAAGGCAAUCCCCUGGACCUGUACUGAC
rnacentral:rRNA from 1 species